rnacentral:rRNA from 1 species
GACGAACGCUGGCGGCGUGCUUAACACAUGCAAGUCGAACGGUGAAAGCGGAGCUUGCUCCGCUGGAUCAGUGGCGAACGGGUGAGUAACACGUGGGCAACCUGCCCCUCACUUCGGGAUAACUCCGGGAAACCGGGGCUAAUACCGGAUAUGACCUCCUUGGGCAUCCUUGGAGGUGGAAAGCUUUUCGGUGAGGGAUGGGCCCGCGGCCUAUCAGCUUGGUGGUGAGGUAGUGGCUCACCAAGGCGACGACGGGUAGCCGGCCUGAGAGGGCGACCGGCCACACUGGGACUGAGACACGGCCCAGACUCCUACGGGAGGCAGCAGUGGGGAAUAUUGCGCAAUGGGCGAAAGCCUGACGCAGCAACGCCGCGUGCGGGAUGACGGCCUUCGGGUUGUAAACCGCUUUCAGCAGGGAAGAAGCCGCAAGGUGACGGUACCUGCAGAAGAAGCACCGGCUAACUACGUGCCAGCCGCCGCCGUAA